AAGAAAAAUACUUCAGUUAUCAUUCCCAGACAAUUAUAAACGAUUUGGGUGCCAUAUGAGUUAAUAAAUUGGAUGUGUAUGUAAGGGAUUUGUGCUCUAAUUGGCUCUCCAUAGUCCAACCACAACUUUAAACCAGGGUUUAAGUUAAACUCGAGUUCAGAAUACGGGCCAACAUGUAUAUAGGGCAUUCUAGGGCUUCAUUGCUCUGCAUCACAUUUGACUAUCCGUAGUUAAACAACUUUAGACCAGGGUUUAAAUUGAACUGGAGUUGAGAACAAGGGCCAGUGACAAUUUGUCAGGGUGAAUACCGUGAGCUAUACCUCCUAUCUACUCUCCUAGGAAUCACCUAAUAGAAACAGUAUAUAGCAAUAGAGAAUACAAGUUCUAUAGAUACAUACAACAUUGGAAGCAGGAAUAUGUUGAAUACAGUGCAUCACAGGAAAAGAUACUCCCAGGGAGUGGAAAGAGUACCAGGCAAAUACAAGUUAUGUACACAACUAGCAUUUUAAGGCAGGAAUCAUACGUUGACUACCAUCCAAAAUAGGAAACAGUCACGAUAUACUCCUAGGGAGCGGAGAGAGUGCGCACCUUGUAAGCAGGGCAAUGCAUGUUAUAGGACACAGCUAGCAUACAAGGCAGGAAUCAUGAGUUGACUACAGUGCUAAAUUGGAAGAGACAGCAUCAAGAGAUACUCCCAGGGAGUGGAAAAUGGAGACCUACACACAUUGUGAGCAGGCGAAUUCAAGUUAUAGAUACAAAUAGUAUUUGAGGCAGGAAUCAUAAGCUGAAUACAGUGCAACAAAGGAAAAGAGAUCAUCAAGAAAUCGUCAAGAAAUUAUCAAGAAAAAACAACCCAGGGAGUGGAGUGUGUACACACAUUGUACACGGCCGAAUCCAAGUUGAGGGAUACAAAUACCAUUUGAGGCAGGAAUCUUAAGUUGACUACAUUGUAGCACAAGGAAAGAGCACAUCAAGAGAUAAUCACAGGGAGUGGAGGGUGUACACGCCUUGCCAGUAAGCUGAUGCAAAUUAUGGGACAGAAAUAGCAUGCAAGGCAGGAAUGAGAAAUCGAAACUGACUACAUUGUAGCAUAGUGAAAAAAGAGCAUCAAGAAUAAUCCCAGGGAGUGGAGAAUGUACCCACCAUUCGAGCAGGUAUAUACAAGUUAUAGAAUAUAAAUACAAUGUAGCAUUAAAGGCAGGAAUCACAAGUUGGCUACAGUACAACACAGGACAAGAGAUUGUCAAGAGACACUCCCAGGGAGCG